AUGCGCAAAUGGCGCAGCCUUUUCCCGCCAACCAAAUCCGAACGCCGUCGGUUAGCUCUACGAGCGGGAACGGGGGCCGACGCCCUAAAUUUACCCUCCGGAGCACGAUGUUUCCGGAGUCCAGCGAGGAUGGCAGCCUCCACCGUCCCCGCGGGGGCGCACCCGUGCUAUUCGCGGUUCAACGCCACGGCCAUUUUUCUCUUCUCCCCGUCCUCCUCCCAUCUCUCCGUCUCGCGAGAACUUGAUAUUUAUUUUGCAUUUAAGUUAGUUAUACUGACUCAUGGUGAGAAAUUUGAGCCGUUUCCUAUAUAUAUGCCAAUGCAAUCAAUUUGUAAACAUUAA
rnacentral:rRNA from 1 species